GUGCUCACUUUGGCAGCACAUAUACUAAAAUUGGAACUAUACAGAGAUUAGCAUGGCCCCUGCACAAGGAUGACACACAAACUCAUGAAGUGUUCCAUAUUUAA
ensembl:snRNA U6 U6 spliceosomal RNA